rnacentral:rRNA from 1 species
CGCGCAGGUGGUUUCCUAAGUCUGAUGUGAAAGCCCACGGCUCAACCGUGGAGGGUCAUUGGAAACUGGGAGACUUGAGUGCAGAAGAGGAUAGUGGAAUUCCAAGUGUAGCGGUGAAAUGCGUAGAUAUCAAGAGGAACACCGAUGGCGAAGGCAGCUCUCUGGUCCGUUUCUGACGCUGAGGUGCGAAAGCUAGGGUAGCGAACG